rnacentral:tRNA from 1 species
UAGCUCAGUCAGUUGAGCGUGGCGCUAACAACGCCAAGGUCGCGGGUUUGAUUCCCGU